AUUGAACGCUGGCGGCAUGCUUUACACAUGCAAGUCGAGCGGCAGCGCGGGGGCAACCCUGGCGGCGAGCGGCGGACGGGUGAGUAAUGCAUCGGAACGUAUCCCGUAGUGGGGGACAACCCAGCGAAAGCUGGGCUAAUACCGCAUAUGCUCUACGGAGGAAAGCAGGGGACUCGCAAGAGCCUUGUGCUAUGGGAGCGGCCGAUGUCCGAUUAGCUAGUUGGUGGGUAAAGGCUUACCAAGGCGACGAUCGGUAGCUGGUCUGAGAGGAUGAUCAGCCACACUGGGACUGAGACACGGCCCAGACUCCUACGGGAGGCAGCAGUGGGAAUUUUGGACAAUGGGGGCAACCCUGAUCCAGCCAUGCCGCGUGCGGGAAGAA
rnacentral:rRNA from 1 species